GGAUCAGGUGGUGUAAUCUACACUAUCAACAUGUCUAGGAUCAGGUGUUGUAAUCUACACCAUCAACAUGUCUAGGAUCAGGUGUUGUAAUCUACACCAUCAACAUGUCUAGGAUCAGGUGGUGAUGUAAUCUACACUAUCAACAUGUCUAGGAUCAGGUGGUGAUGUAAUCUACACUAUCAACAUGUCUAGGAUCAGGUGGUGUAAUCUACACUAUCAACAUGUCUAGGAUCAGGUGGUGUAAUCUACACCAUCAACAUGUCUAGGAUCAGGUGGUGUAAUCUACACUAUCAACAUGUCUAGGAUCAGGUGGUGAUGUAAUCUACACCAUCAACAUGUCUAGGAUCAGGUGGUGUAAUCUACACUAUCAACAUGUCUAGGAUCAGGUGGUGUAAUCUAAACCAUCAACAUGUCUAGGAUCAGGUGGUGUAAUCUACACUAUCAACAUGUCUAGGAUCAGGUGGUGAUGUAAUCUAAACCAUCAACAUGUCUAGGAUCAGGUGGUGGUGUAAUCUAAACCAUCAACAUGUCUAGGAUCAGGUGAUGUAAUCUACACUAUCAACAUGUCUAGGAUCAGGUGGUGAUGUAAUCUACACCAUCAACAUGUCUAGGAUCAGGUGGUGGUGUAAUCUACACCUAUCAACAUGUCUAGGAUCAGGUGGUGAUGUAAUCUACACUAUCAACAUGUCUAGGAUCAGGUGUUGUAAUCUAAACCAUCAACAUGUCUAGGAUCAGGUGGUGUAAUCUACACCAUCAACAUGUCUAGGAUCAGGUGGUGUAAUCUACACUAUCAACAUGUCUAGGAUCAGGUGGUGGUGUAAUCUACACUAUCAACAUGUCUAGGAUCAGGUGGUGAUGUAAUCUACACUAUCAACAUGUCUAGGAUCAGGUGGUGAUGUAAUCUACACUAUCAACAUGUCUAGGAUCAGGUGGUGGUGUAAUCUACACUAUCAACAUGUCUAGGAUCAGGUGGUGGUGUAAUCUACACUAUCAACAUGUCUAGGAUCAGGUGGUGAUGUAAUCUACACUAUCAACAUGUCUAGGAUCAGGUGGUGGUGUAAUCUACACUAUCAACAUGUCUAGGAUCAGGUGGUGAUGUAAUCUACACCAUCAACAUGUCUAGGAUCAGGUGGUGUUGUAAUCUACACUAUCAACAUGUCUAGGAUCAGGUGUUGUAAUCUACACUAUCAACAUGUCUAGGAUCAGGUGGUGUAGUAAUCUACACUAUCAACAUGUCUAGGAUCAGGUGGUGAUGUAAUCUACACCAUCAACAUGUCUAGGAUCAGGUGUUGUAAUCUACACCAUCAACAUGUCUAGGAUCAGGUGGUGAUGUAAUCUACACUAUCAACAUGUCUAGGAUCAGGUGUUGUAAUCUACACUAUCAACAUGUCUAGGAUCAGGUGAUGUAAUCUACACCAUCAACAUGUCUAGGAUCAGGUGGUGUUGUAAUCUACACUAUCAACAUGUCUAGGAUCAGGUGGUGUAAUCUACACCAUCAACAUGUCUAGGAUCAGGUGAUGUAAUCUACACUAUCAACAUGUCUAGGAUCAGGUGGUGAUGUAAUCUACACUAUCAACAUGUCUAGGAUCAGGUGUUGUAAUCUACACUAUCAACAUGUCUAGGAUCAGGUGAUGUAAUCUACACCAUCAACAUGUCUAGGAUCAGGUGGUGUUGUAAUCUACACUAUCAACAUGUCUAGGAUCAGGUGGUGUAAUCUACACCAUCAACAUGUCUAGGAUCAGGUGAUGUAAUCUACACUAUCAACAUGUCUAGGAUCAGGUGGUGAUGUAAUCUACACUAUCAACAUGUCUAGGAUCAGGUGGUGAUGUAAUCUACACUAUCAACAUGUCUAGGAUCAGGUGGUGGUGUAAUCUACACUAUCAACAUGUCUAGGAUCAGGUGGUGUAAUCUACACUAUCAACAUGUCUAGGAUCAGGUGGUGUAAUCUACACUAUCAACAUGUCUAGG